UCCACCGAGAUGCUCCUCGGGCCGCGCUCUUCACGGCCGCAGCCGCCUCAGUGCCGCGUUCCUCAAGGCCGCGCUCGCCUCACGGCCGCUCAGCGCUCUGGGCGCGGUCCGCCGGGAGGAGCGGGGACGGGCGACCGCCGGCGAGCCAAGAAUUUUGAGAGGAGUGAUUUUUAAAGAAGUGACCCGUGUACGGCAUGUUUUGACUGCUGUGUCUCACUAUAUCAAGUUUUUAUGUAAGUUUUUUCCAUUUUCAGGUAAUCUCUGAUUUUGAUUAAUGCAACAGUGACAACAGUUGAUAACGUUUUUCUGUUGAUUUGCCUAAUGUCUGUGUUCAUCUAAAUAGUUUCCAAUGCAUCUUCACAUUUUAAACUCUUUUAAACUAUAACUUAGACCCCAUUUCACAUUCAUGCUUUAUAUUGCCGAGACUCUGCUUUGGGGAGGAGCAAAUCGUCUUCCCUUCUGAAACGGCACUGCUUGGGAACUAGUUGGGUCCCGGGUAUUCUGGGGAAGUGACACAGUGUUGACCUAGGAGGGGGUCCUGAUCUCUCCCCAUGGGGAGAAGGAACAGAGAGGAAGUUGAGGCUGGCGACCCUCUUGGGACAUGCCCACACCCACCCUCUCCAAGGGCUCUGCCCUGGACAUCCACCUGGGCGUGGGGAGGCCUGGAUACACCGUUGGCAGAGAAGCUGGGCGGGAAGAAGCCGGCCCAGCGCCCGCCACUGUAAGAGGAAACGAAGAGAGACAGCUCCAGUCAGCCCCAGAAGCGAGGCCUGGAAAAACUGCAGCUGGAGCUAGCACAAAGGACUUUUCAGACCCUGCAGCCAAGGUGCCCAGUGAGCUUUUUUUUUUUUUUUUUUUUAAAACAGCUAUUAGGGCGACGAGCCUUUCCAAAGGCCAGCAGUUGGCGAGGGUUUCCAGGAAGCUGGUCUGGCACCAGGCUGGGAUUGGAGCAACUUUAACGAGUUAACUUCAGAAGGAAGGAAUCAUCAGGAAAGGUUUAAGGUUCAGCAAACUUUUUGGAUUAUUUUGCAAAACGUUCUGGCUUUCAAAUUCAAAGGCGUGUUUUGCCGUGACUGUUUUAAGCCAGAGCCUGUUUCAAAGGCAGCGCAGCCCGCACGUUUCUGAUUCAUUCACUCCAGGUAUUUGUCUCGACUUCUCUGGACGAGCUCUGCAAGUGCCAUCCAGUGCCGGGAAGUACUGGGGUCACCUUACACGUCUCAUCAAACAUUGCUCCACCCACGUGCCUCUCCCUCCGCCAGCCCCCAUGGCCAUGUGUGCACACGCGCGCGCACACACGCGCACACCUUCCCCAAGCAGGAAGCUGCUCUUUGCCAAGAGCGAAUGGAAUUCAGAUUUCCAGAGGGUGUCCUUGGCCUCCAGCUCCACAGCCACACGCUGAAGAAAGGUCCUAGUGUGUGUGGUGGGGACUGAGAGAGAGGGGCCUCCAUCUCUGCUCACGUCUAUCUCGGCCCCAAGAAAAACCCACAACUGGCGGCAGGCUCCUCGGCCACACCCGGCCUCGGUCACAUUCCUUCCCUUCCCGAGCCCGCACGGGUGGCCCCAGCACACCAGCCUCCACAGCUUCCUCCCCGCCGGAGGGGAGACCUAGGCCGGGCCCUUGUGGGGCAACCAGCAAUUCCAAGUGAGGCGCCCGCACCCCGGGCCUGAAGCGGUAGGAAACCACCGAGGGGCCCUCCGGGCCGGGCCUCCGGCUUGGGCCCGCGCUCACCUACGCGGGGGAGGACGGCGCUGCUUCUCCCUUCAGCACAGUGGGGCCGGCCCUCUUCCUAUCCAGCCUUUGCUCUGCUGGCUGCGGAGCUGGUGGGCCUGCUGCAAAGGCUGACGCCGCCCUUUCCCACCACAGGGUCCCUGCGUACAUAGCGGCCAGAAG